rnacentral:misc_RNA from 1 species
GAUGAAGAACGCAGCUAAAUGCGAUAAGUAAUGUGAAUUGCAGAAUUCAGUGAAUCAUCGAAUCUUUGAACGCACAUUGCGCCCGCCAGUAUUCUGGCGGGCAUGCCUGUCCGAGCGUCAUUUCAACCCCUCAAGCCCUGCUUGGUGUUGGGGCCCCCUACGUGCGCCGUAGGCCCCGAAUUCCAGUGGCGGGCUCGCCGCGAACCCGAGCGUAGUAGCUUUUGCCUCGCUCAGGGCCCGCGGCGGGCGCCUGCCGUGAAAGAACCCACUAUUCUAAAGGUUGACCUCGGAUCAGGUAGGAAUACCCGCUGAACUUAAGCAUAUCAAUAAGCGGAGGA